UACGGAGGGUGCAAGCGUUAUCCGGAUUCACUGGGUUUAAAGGGUGCGUAGGCGGGCAGGUAAGUCCGUGGUGAAAUCUCUGAGCUUAACUCAGAAACUGCCAUGGAUACUAUUUGUCCUGAAUAUUGUGGAGGUAAGCGGAAUAUGUCAUGUAGCGGUGAAAUGCUUAGAUAUGACAUAGAACACCAAUUGCGAAGGCAGCUUACUACACAGUUAUUGACGCUGAGGCACGAAAGCGUGGGGAUCAAACAGG
rnacentral:rRNA from 1 species